ACAUCGGCUGUCGCGGAAGCUGAAAGGCUUACGAGGAAAGUCGGGACAGCGCAGAGCACCAUACUUCCUAACGGGAAGGGGUUUCACCGGAAACGGAAAAACUACAGAGAGUGCCACAGAAAAUUACCGUCCCGCCUAUGCGGGAUAAGGGUGAAAACGUGAGGUAAGAGCUCACGCUGCCCGAAGGUGACUUCGGGCAGGGGUAAACCUUAUGGGCUGCAAGGCCAAAUAUGCCGGCGAAAGUCACAUUGUGACCGAAAAGAUUGCUCGUCUGAUGCCGGUGGGUAGGCUGCUAGAGUUGUUUGGCAACAAACAACCGAGAUAAAUGACAGUCGUCCGCUCAGGCGGAAACAGAAUCCCGCUUAUGAUGUCAGU
rnacentral:RNase_P_RNA from 1 species